UACGUAGGGUGCGAGCGUUGUCCGGAAUUAUUGGGCGUACAGAGCUCGUAGGCGGUGUGUCGCGUCGGCCGUGAAAACCUGGGGCUCAACUCUGGGCGUGCGGUCGAUACGGGCAUCACUUGAGUUCGGCAGGGGAGACUGGAAUUCCUGGUGUAGCGGUGAAAUGCGCAGAUAUCAGGAGGAACACCGGUGGCGAAGGCGGGUCUCUGGGCCGAUACUGACGCUGAGGAGCGAAAGCAUGGGUAGCGAACAGG
rnacentral:rRNA from 1 species